rnacentral:rRNA from 1 species
AACGAACGCUGGCGGCAUGCCUAACACAUGCAAGUCGAACGAACCCUUCGGGGUUAGUAGCGCACGGGUGCGUAACGCGUGGGAACCUGCCUUUAGGUUCGGAAUAACUCAGAGAAAUUUGAGCUAAUACCGGAUAAUGUCUUCGGACCAAAGAUUUAUCGCCUUUAGAUGGGCCCGCGUAAGAUUAGCUAGUUGGUGGGGUAAAGGCCUACCAAGGCGACGAUCUUUAGCUGGUCUGAGAGGAUGAUCAGCCACACUGGGACUGAGACACGGCCCAGACUCCUACGGGAGGCAGCAGUGGGGAAUAUUGGACAAUGGGCGAAAGCCUGAUCCAGCAAUGCCGCGUGAGUGAUGAAGGCCUUAGGGUUGUAAAGCUCUUUUACCAGGGAUGAUAAUGACAGUACCUGGAGAAUAAGCUCCGGCUAACUUCGUGCCAGCAGCCGCAGUAACAC